rnacentral:rRNA from 1 species
CUAUCGUUAACUGAAUACAUAGGUUAACGAGGCGAACCGGGGGAACUGAAACAUCUAAGUACCCCGAGGAAAAGAAAUCAACCGAGAUUCCCCCUGUAGCGGCGAGCGAACGGGGAGCAGCCCAGAGUCUGAAUCAGCUUGUGUGUUAGUGGAACGGUCUGGAAAGUCCGACGGUACAGGGUGAUAGUCCCGUACACCAAAAAGCACAGGUUGUGAACUCGAAGAGUAGGGCGGGACACGUGGUAUCCUGUCUGAAUAUGGGGGGACCAUCCUCCAAGGCUAAAUACUCCUGACUGACCGAUAGUGAACCUGUACCGUGA